AAUACGGUUGAACAAAGUGUAUCCUUAAAGAUAUAUGCAUUUUACUCUCUCUUAAGUUGCUAUAUAGUGAAGUCCUGUAUUAGGCUUUCGAAUAACUUAGUUUUAAUUCUUUAUUCUUUCCUCUUUACCAUAUUUAGUGUGUAUCUUUGUUCUUAGCUUGGGUCUUUCAAUAUAAAAAUAAGGAGAUCUGGUAUUAUUGGCAAUGAGACAACUAUACAUUAGAGUUCAAAUGAGGUGGAUAUAAGCAUUUAUAGGUUACAGCAUGGCCUUCAACAAUGAGAAAAAACCAUACUGUAGAGACAGCUAUAACAGGCCCUAUUAAACAGGAAAAAUGUAAAAAUAUUCAAACUAAGGAUAAAAAUAACAAAAGAUUAAUAUUAACCAUUAUUCUUACGCCUUAAAGCUUUUACAUUCAACAAUGCAAACUACCUUAUUCUGAGAAGAACUUUUGUGUGUGUCUUUUGUGACAAGAAAAAGUAUGUGUAUAUGUC
rnacentral:lncRNA from 1 species